UGCACAAGUGAUGAACAACAAAGGGACUUAAUACUGAUACCUGAUGUAAUACGAUGUCUGAUGUGC
rnacentral:snoRNA from 12 species